rnacentral:lncRNA from 1 species
CCACCCCCAGUGUCUACCGUACCUCUCCAACCAUCAACCUUCAAUAGUGUCAGCCGGACUUCAACAAUGCCAACCAGACUUCCACAGGAUCCUCCAGACUCCUCCAGCGAACGAACCUCCACAACAGCAUCCGAAGUCUACUGUCGGUCGACUCUCUGUCAGAUUUCUCAUGAAACCAGACUUCUCCAACAGAAAAUCACCGUCCGAGCUUCUACAGUAGAUGACUCCCACCUGCAGCA